AUACGUAGGGAGCGAGCGUUGUCCGGUAUUACUGGGCGUAAAGGGCGCGUAGGCGGCGCUUCAAGUCGUCUGUCAAAUGGAAGGGCUUAACCCUUUUUCGCAGACGAAACUGGAGAGUUUGAGAAGCAGAGAGGCAAACAGAAUUCCUGGUGUAGCGGUGAAAUGCGUAGAUAUCAGGAAGAAUACCAGUGGCGAAGGCGGUUUGCUGGCUGCAUACUGACGCUGAAGCGCGAAAGCCAGGGGAGCAAACGGGAUUAGAUACCCCGGUAGUCCUGGCAGUAAACGAUGUAUGCUGGGUGUGGGAGUAGCGAUACCUCCGUGCCGAAGUUAGCGCGAUAAGCAUACCGCCUGGGGAGUACGGUCGCAAGAUUGAAACUCAAAGGAAUUGACGGGG
rnacentral:rRNA from 1 species